UACGUAGGGGGCAAGCGUUGUUCGGAAUUACUGGGCGUAAAGGGCGCGUAGGCGGUUCGCUAAGUUGGAUGUGAAAACUCUGGGCUCAACCCAGAGCCUGCAUCCAAAACUGGCGGGCUAGAGUUCUGGAGGGGGUAGCGGAAUUCCUGGUGUAGCGGUGAAAUGCGUAGAUAUCAGGAGGAACACCGGUGGCGAAGGCGGCUACCUGGACAGAAAACUGACGCUGAGGCGCGAAAGCUAGGGGGAGCAAACAGG
rnacentral:rRNA from 1 species